AGUUUGAUCAUGGCUCAGAUUGAACGCUGGCGGCAUGCCUAACACAUGCAAGUCGAACGGUAGCAGGGCUCAAUUUCGGUUGAGCUGCUGACGAGUGGCGAACGGGUGAGUAACGCGUAGGAAUCUAGCCAACGGCGUGGGAUAACCCGUGGAAACGCGGGCUAAUACCGCAUAAUCUCUACGGAGCAAAGGGUGGGACCGAAAGGCCACGCACCGUUGGAUGAGCCUGCGUUGGAUUAGCUAGUUGGUGAGGUAAAGGCUCACCAAGGCAACGAUCCAUAGCUGGUCUGAGAGGAUGAACAGCCACACUGGGACUGAGACACGGCCCAGACUCCUACGGGAGGCAGCAGUGGGGAAUAUUGGACAAUGGGCGCAAGCCUGAUCCAGCAAUGCCGCGUGUGUGAAGAAGGCCUGCGGGUUGUAAAGCACUUUCAGUGGGGAGGAAGGCAAGGUAUUGAAUAGAUACGUUGUUUGACGCUACCCACAAAAGCAGCACCGGCUAACUCUGUGCCAGCAGCCGCGGUAAUACAGAGGGUGCAAGCGUUAAUCGGAUUGACUGGGCGUAAAGCGCGUGUAGGCGGCUUAAUAAGUGAAUUGUGAAAGUCCUGGGCUUAACCUAGGGAUUGCGGUUCAUACUGUUAGGCUAGAGUCUAGGAGAGGAAAGUAGAAUUUCCGGUGUAGCGGUGAAAUGCGUAGAUAUCGGAAAGAAUACCAGUGGCGAAGGCGACUUUCUGGCUUAAGACUGACGCUGAGACGCGAAGGCGUGGGUAGCGAACAGGAUUAGAUACCCUGGUAGUCCACGCAGUAAAUGGUGAGUACUAAACGGUAGCGCCGUAUGGCGUUAUGGUUGAAGCUAACGCG
rnacentral:rRNA from 1 species